rnacentral:rRNA from 1 species
AGCUGCUCCUAGUACGAGAGGACCGGAGUGGACGAACCUCUGGUGUUCCGGUUGUCACGCCAGUGGCAUUGCCGGGUAGCUACGUUCGGACGGGAUAAGCGCUGAAAGCAUCUAAGCGCGAAGCCUCUUCCAAGAUUAAUUCUCACUGAUUCUUUAAGAAUCCUGAAGGGCCCUUGAAGACUACAAGGUUGAUAGGCACGGUGUGGAAGCGCAGUAAUGUGUGAAGCUAACGUGUACUAAUUGCCCGUGAGGCUUGACCAUAUAACACCCAAAAGGGUU